CCGGACACAUUUUUGGAUCUCAAAAAUCCAAUCUUGUUUUCUUGUUUUUAUUUUCAAAAUUGGUUUUUGAAAAAUCAUUUUUAAAAACGUUACCGGACAAGAAGUGUUUUAAUCUCAACCACAUUUUAUUCGCCAAGGGUGAGUAACCACAAUAUUCAUGUUCAUUAGCGACCAAGUUUACAUUCUUAGCUAAUGUUCGGAUAGUGCAUACAAGAAGAGAUGCAAAUAAGGCAGCGAAUCUAAUGGCUGCACAGGCAUCUGCUACGGGCCAAGCUUCCUUUUAUUCUUUUGUUCCUUCUUUUCUUCAUAAGCUGUGACUGUACUACUCAACAAUGCUCGGAGAAUCCAUUCGAAACUCUACAAGCUGUGCCUCUUUGUUUAAUGUCAAAGCUGAACACUAUUUGCACAAGGACAUCCGGAAGAGAUGUAAGUCGUGAAGUACUCGUUGAAGAAUAGUGAAGUUUUGAGGACGAUGACCAUCUCUACGUUAAGGAAUAAUUGUGGAGAAGCAAAGGAGUUGCAGAGGAAUUUACGUAUGUUUCCAAGAGCUUCAGAGACGUGUGAGGUUGAGUCUAUAUGAGCUGCAACUUCAGGUUAUAAAUUCACUGAGGCCUUAAACACGUCUCACAGUAAUUUUACUUUGAAUUGUCCAGCUUUUGUUUUCAGAGGGAUUAAUUCUCUAUUGAAGUUGUAAAAGCACCAAGUUGACCGUACUAUAUAUGACUUUGAAUGGUCCAGCUAUUGUUUUCAGAGGGAUUAAUUCUUUAUUGAAGUUGUAAAAGCACCAUGUUGACCUUACUAUAUACGAAUCUAUUUGCAGUCGUUU